rnacentral:lncRNA from 1 species
CGGCGAAAUCGCUCCUGCCAGGCAGAGGGGCGGGGCCAGCCUUCUUUCCAACAGACCUCAAAGGAGGGAGGGACCUUGGAGAACUACAUAUCCCACAAGCCACCCAAGGCCGACUCUUGGCGGAGCAGUUUGGAAAAGCUAGCUCGGUUUCUUCGGGCUUCCAGGCCCUUCCAGCAGAGCCUUCCCUGCAGCUGAUUGGCUCCCAAUGGAGACCCAGGGAAGCUACUAUUUUGGAGCAUGAAGUCUUGAGCUGCUUGGGUCUCACUUCAAGAGCCUGGAAAAGCUACAACUCUGCGCCUCGCUUUCCCCCGAAAACUGUUUGUGCGGUAAGUGAAGUUCUCCCUUACCAACUCCAUUAUUAUUAUUAUUAUUAUUAUUAUUAUUAUUAUUAUUAUUAUUAUUAUUAUUAUUAUUAUGACACAGCAAACAAGAUAGAUAUGCUGCAUUUCGUAUCACAAAACCACAAGUCGAACACUUCCCAAGUGUCUAGGACUGUGUGAUGUAUUUUCGGAUGAUGUGUGCAGAUCCCAGUAGGGUGGCCUUUUGCAGUUGGCAGAUCGUGAUUUCGUCAAUGUCUAUUGUUUCCAAAUGCCGGCUGAGAUCUUUCGGCACGGCACCCAGUGUGCCCAUCACCACCAGGACCGCCUGCACUGGUUUCUGUCAGAGUCUUUGAAGUUCAAUCUUGAGGUCCUGAUAGCGGCUGAGUUUUUCCUGUUGUUUUUCAUCAAUGCGACUGUCACCUGGGAUGGCGACAUCAAUGAUCCAGACCUUUUUCCUUUCCACAACUGUGAUGUCUGGUGUGUUGUGUUCCAGAACUUUGUCAGUCUGGAUUCGGAAGUCCCACAGUAUCUUUGUGUCAUUUUCCAAGACUUUUGCAGGUUUGUGAUCCCACCAGUUCUUUGCUGCUGGGAGGUGGUACUUGAGGCAUAAGUUCCAAUGAAUCAUUUGGGCCACACAGUUGUGCCUCUGUUUGUAGUCUGUCUGUGCGAUUUUCUUACAGCAGCUGAGGAGAUGAUCAAUGGUUUUGUCGGUUUCCUUGCACAGUCUGCAUUUUGGGUCAUCAGCUGCUGUAAGAAAAUCGCACAGACAGACUACAAACAGAGGCACAACUAUGUGGCCCAAAUGAUUCAUUGGAACUUAUGCCUCAAGCACCACCUCCCAGCAGCAAAGAACUGGUGGGAUCACAAACCUGCAAAAGUAUUGGAAAAUGAGCAUGCAAAGAUACUGUGGGACUUCCGAAUCGAGACUGACAAAGUUCUGGAACACAACACACCAGACAUCACAGUUGUGGAAAAGAAAAAGGUUUGGAUCAUUGAUGUUGCCAUCCCAGGUGACAGUCGCAUUGACAAAAAACAACAGGAAAAACUCAGCCGCUAUCAGGACCUCAAGAUUGAACUUCAAAGACUCUGGCAGAAACCAGUGCAGGUGGUCCCGGUGGUGAUGGGCACACUGGGUGCCGUGCCAAAAUAUCUCAGCCGGCAUUUGGAAACAAUCGGCAUUGACAAAAUUACGAUCUGCCAACUGCAAAAGGCCACCCUGCUGGGAUCUGCGAGCAUCAUCCGAAAAUACAUCACACAGUCCUAGACACUUGGGAAGUGUCCGACUUGUGAUUUUGUGAUAUGAAAUGCAGCAUGUCUAUCUUGUUUGCUGUGUCAUAAUAAAAUAAUAAUAAUAAUAAUAAUAAUAAUAAUAAUAAUAAUAAUAGGAAAACCUUAUUUGUAUUCCAC